CAUAUGAAUCAGGGGUGCUGGAUGAAAUGGCCGGCUGAGAUUGUAUCCCACAAGAUACUGACCCUUACACCUGAUCUGGGUAAUGCCAGCGUAGGAAAAUGAUCUUCAUGGCUA
rnacentral:ncRNA from 2 species